rnacentral:rRNA from 1 species
UGAAUAAUCAUUUAAACGGCCGCGGUAUCCUAACCGUGCAAAGGUAGCAUAAUCACUUGUCCCCUAAUUAGGGACCCGUAUGAACGGCCAACCGAGGGCAAACCUGUCUCCUACAGCCAAUCAAUGAAACUGAUCUUCUAGUACAAAAGCUAGAAUAUGCGCAUAAGACGAGAAGACCCUGUGGAGCUUUAAGCUAACUACUACCCCACUACAAUAGUACCUCAGCUUUAAGUUGGGGCGACUACGGAGAACAACAGAACCUCCACGACAACGCUAGCCUCUCACCAGGGCUACACCCCAAACAGAAGAAAGCACUGACCCAGCUAACACUGAUCUACGAACCAAGUUACCCCAGGGAUAACAGCGCCAUCCCCUUCAAGAGUCCAUAUCGACAAGGGGGCUUACGACCUCGAUGUUGGAUCAGGGCCACCAAGUGGUGCAGCCGCUACUAAAGGUCCGUUUGUUCAACGGCUAACGCCCUACGUGAUCUGAGUCAAGGAACCGGACCGCCUGUUUACCAAAAAAAACAGCCUGUUUUUCAAAA